UUGCCAUGGGAACCAGAACUGAAUUUGAAGGCCAAAGCAGGUGUGGCCUCUGAUUUUGGGAAUGAAACUUCAUUCUUUUAGGCUCCUGAUCUUACCAAUUUAACUUUCUCCUUUCUCCCGCAUCCCUUCCCUUCCCUUCAGGCCUUCCUCCUACAGACAGUAGAUGGAAAGCACCAAGACCUCAAGUACAUCUCACCAGAAACGAUGGUGGCCCUGUUGAUGGGCAAGUUCAGCAACAUCGUGGAUAAGUUUGUGAUUGUAGACUGCAGAUACCCCUAUGAGUAUGAAGGCGGGCACAUCAAGACUGCGGUGAACUUGCCCCUGGAACGCGAC
rnacentral:sRNA from 1 species